rnacentral:lncRNA from 1 species
ACAGCAGCUCCAACGACCACAACAGCUUCCUCUACAACCACGAUAGCCAGCCCCACAUCAACCACAGCUGUUUCCACAACAACCACAGCUGCACCCACAACAACCACAUCUGCACACACAUCAACAGCAGAAGCAGCCCCAACAACCACAUCUUCUCCGACAACACCUACAGCAUCUCCGACAACCACAGCCAUCCCCACAACCACAGACGGACACACAACAACCACAGAUGCACCAACAACAACCACAGAUGCACCCACAACAACCACAGAUGCAACCACAACAACCACAUCUUCUCCGACAACAACUACAGCAUCUACAACAUCUACAACAGCUUCCUCUUCAACCACCACAGCCAGCCCCACAUCAACCAGAGCUGCACCCACAUCAACCACAGCCAUCCCCACAACAACCACAGAUGCACACACAACAACCACAGCCAUCCCCACAACCACUGAAGCAGACACAACAACCACAGAUGCACACACAACAACUAAAGCAGCUUCGACAUCCACCGCCAUCCCCACAACAACUACAGCAUCUCACACAUCAACCACAUCUUCUCCGAAAAUCACUACAGCAGCUCCAACGACCACAACAGCUUCCUCUUCAACCACCACCACCAGCCCCACAUCAACCACAGCUGUUCACACAACAACCACAGAUGCACACACAACAACCACAGAUGCACCCACAACAACCACAUCUUCUCCGACAACACCUUCAGCAGCUCCGACAACCACAGCCAUCUCGAAAAGAACCACAGAUGCACACACAACAACCACAGAUGCACAACCCCCAUCCACAUUUUCUCUGACACCUACUACAGCAGCUCCCACAACAACUACUGCAAACCCCACAACAACCACUGCUGCUCCCACAACAACCACAGCUGCUACAACAACAAUCACAGCUGCACCCACAACAACCACAGCUGCACCCACAACAAACAGAGAUGAACCCACAACAACCACAUCUUCUCCAACAGCAACUACAGCAGCUCCAAUGACCACAGCAGCUUCCUCUACAACAACAACCACAGCUUCUAAAACAACAAUCAAAGCUGAUCCCACAAUAACCACAGAUGCACCCACAACAACCACAUCUUCUCCGACAACACCUACAGCAGCUCCAACAACCACAGUCAUCCCCACAACAACCACAGAUGCACAGACAUCAACCACCUCUUUUCCGACAACACCUACAGCAGUUCCGACAACAACAACCGUCCCUACAACAACCACAGAUGCACACACAACAACCACAUCUUCUCCGACAACAACUACAGCAGCUCCAAAGACCACAACAGCCAUCUCUACAACCACCACAGCUUCUACAACAACAACCAAAGCUGAUCCCUCAACAACCACAGAUGCACCCACAACAACCACAGAUGCACCCACAACAACCACAUCUUCUCUGACAACAACUACAGCAACUACAACAUCCACAACAGCUUCCUCUUUAACCACCACAGCCAGCCCCACAUCAACCACAGCUUCUUCCACAAUAACCACAGAAGCACCCACAACAACCACAGAAGCACCCACAACAUCCACAUCUCCGACAACACCUACAGCGGCUCCGACAACCACAGCCAUCUCCACAACAACCACAGACGCACACACAACAACAACGGAUGCACCCACAACAACCACAUUUUCUCCAACAACAGUUAUAGCAAAUCCAAUGACCACAACAGCUUCCUCUACAACCACCACAGCUUCUACAACAACCACAGCUUCUUCUACAACAACCACAGCUGCACCCACAACAACCACAUUUUCUCAGACAACAACCACAGCUAUCCCCACCAGAACCACAGCUUCAGCCAUACCAAACACAGCUGCACCCACAACAACCACAGAUGCACCCACAACAACCACAUCUUCUCCGACAACAACUAUAGAAUCUACAACAUCCAGAAAAGCUUCCACGACAACCACCACAGCCAGCCCCACAUCAACAACAGAUGCACCCACAACAACCACAGCUUCACCCACAACAACCACAGAAGCACCCACAACAACCACAUCUUCUCCGACAACACCUAUAGCAGCUCCGACAGCAACAACCGUCCCCACAACAACCACAGAUGCACCCACAACAACCACAUCUUCUCCGGCAACAACUACAGCAUCUGCGACAACCACAGCCAUCCCCACAAAAACCACAGCCAGCCCCACAACAACCACAGCUUCAGCCAUAACAACCACAUCUUCUACAACAACAACCAAAGCUAAUCCCACAAUAACCACAGCUGCUCCCACAACAACAACAACUGUACCACUAUCAACAAUAGCUGCAGCUACUACAAACACAGCCUUCCCGACAACAACCACAGCUGCUCCCACAACAACCACACAUGCACACACACCAACCACAUCUUCUCUGACAACAACUACAACAUCCACAACAGCUUCCUCUACCACCACCACUGCCAGCCCCACAUCAACCACAGCUGCACCCACAACAACCACAGCUGCACCCACAACAACCACAGAAGCACACACAACAACCACAAAUGCACCCACAACAGCCACAUCUUCUCCGGCAACAACUACAGCAGCUCAGAAAACCACCGCCAUCCCCACAACAACAACAGCUAUCCCCACAACAACCACAGCUUCAGCCAUAACAACCACAGCUGCACCCACAACAACCACAGAAGCACCCACAACAACCACAUCUAUUCCUACAACACCUACAGCAGCUCUGACAACCACAGCCAUCCCCACAACAACGACAGAUGCACACACAACAACCACAGAUGCACCCACAACAACCACAGCUGCUCCCACAACAACCACAUCUUACCCGACAACAUCCUCGGCGGCUCCCAAAACAACCACAACCUCUCCCACAACCACAACAGCUUCCCUUACAACAACCACAGCUUCCCCCAAUACAACCACAGCUGCAGCUACAACAAGUACAGCUGCACCCACAACAACCACACCUUCUCCAACCGCAAUAACAGAUGCUGCUACAACAACAGCUUCUAUCACAACAGCUUCGGCCACAAUAUCCACAGCUUCUCCCACCACAACAUCUACUCCAACAACGACCACAUCUUCUCCCACAACAACCACAGUUGCUGCUGCAACAAAAGCUGAGGCUACAACAUUCGAAGCCCUGUCCACAUCAACUACAGCAGCUCCCACAACAACCACAGCUGCACCCACAAAAACCACAGCGGCUCCCACAACUACAGCUGCUCCCACAACCACAACAGUUUCCCUUACUACAACCACAGCUUCCCCCAAUACAACCACAGCUGCACCCACAACAACCACACCUGUUCCAACCAUAAUCACAGCUGUUGCAACAACAACAGCUUCUAUCACAACAACAACAGCUUCGACGACAACAACCACAGCUUCUACCACAACAACUUCAGCGGGUCCCACUACAACCACAGUGGCUCCCACUACAACCACAGUCGCUCCCACUACAACCACAGUGGCUCCCACUACAACCACAGUGGCUCCCACUACAACCACAGCGGCUCCCACUACAACCACAGCGGCUCCCACUAAAUCCACAGCGGCUCCCACUACAACAGCUCCCUCAGCAACAUCAAAAGCUGAUGUAACAACCAGCACUGCUGGCCCUACCACAACCACAACUAAACCCAAAACCACCACAACUUCUCCCACAACCACAACAGAUUCACUUACAACAACCACAACUGAUCCCACAAUGUCAACAGCAACACCAAUACCAUCUACAGUUUCAACAAGCACAGCUGUGGCUACAAUAAUCACAGCUGCAUCAAUAAACACAGCUUCUCCCACCACAACAUCUACUCCCACAACAACCACAGCUUACCCCACAACUACCACAGCAGCUCCCACAACAUCCACAGCGACUCCCACAACAAUCACAGCGGCUCCCACAACAAACACAGCGUCUCCCACUACAACCACAGUGGCUCCCACUUCAACCACAACGUCUCCCACUACAACCACAGCGGCUCCCACUACAACCACAGCGGGUCCCACUACAACCACAGCGGCUCCCACUACAACAACAGCAGCUCCCACUACAACCACAGCUGCUCCCACUACAACAGAUCCCAUAGCAAUAACAACAGCUGAUGUAACAACCACCACUGCUGGCCCUACCACAACCACAGCUAACCCCAAAACAACCACAACUUUUCCCACAACCACAACAGCUUCCCUUACAACAACCACAAUUGCUGCUACAACAAAAGCUGAGGCUACAACAUUCGAAGCCCUGUCCACAUCAACCACAGCAGCUCCCACAACAACCACAGCGUCUCCCACAACAACCACAGCGGCUCCCACAACAACCACUGCUGAUGUUACAACAACCACAGCGUCUCCCAUAACAACCACAGCUGCUCCCACAACAACCACAGCUGAUGUUACAACAACCACAGCUGCUCCCACAACGACCACAGCUGCUCCAACAACAACCACAACAGCUUUCCUUACAUCAGCAGCUGGUCCGACAGCGAUCACAGCAGCACCAAUGAUGUCUACGGAUGCGGCUUCAAUGAGCACAACUGUGGCUACAGCAAUCACAGCUGCACCCACAACAACCACAACUUCUCCCACCACAACAUCUACUCCAACAGUGACCACAUCUGCUCCCACAACAACCACAGUUGCUGCUACAACAAAAUCUGACUCUACAACAUUCAAAGCCCUGUCUACAUCAACCACAGCAGCUCUCACAACAACCACAGCGGCUCCCACAACAACCACAGCUGAUGUUACAACAACCACAGCAACUCCCACAACAACCACAGCUGCUCCCACAACAACCACAGCUGAUGUUACAACAACCACAGCGUCUCCCACAACAACCACAGCUGCUCCAACAACAACCACAGCUGAUGUUACAACAACCACAGUGUCUCCCACAACGACCACAUCUGCUCCAACAACAACCACAACUUAUCCCAAAACUACAGCAUCUCCCACAACCACAACAGCUUCCCUUACAACAUCAACAGCUGGUCCGACAACUAUCACAGCAGCACCAAUGAUGUCUACGGAUGCGGCUUCAACGAGCACAGCUGUGGCUACAGCAGUCACAGCUGCACCCACAACAACCACAGCUUCUCCCACCACAACAUCUACUCCAACAGUGACCACAUCUGCUCCCACAACAACCACAGUUGCUGCUACAACAAAAUCUGAGGCUACAACAUUCAAAGCCCUGUCUACAUCAACCACAGCAGCUCUCACAACAACCACAGCGGCUCCCACAACAACCACAGCUGAUGUUACAACAACCACAGCAACUCCCACAACAACCACAGCUGCUCCCACAACAACCACAGCUGAUGUUACAACAACCACAGCGUCUCCCACAACAACCACAGCUGCUCCAAAAACAACCACUGCUGAUGUUACAACAACCAAUGCAGCUCCCACAACAACCACAGCUGAUGUUACAACAACCACAGUGUCUCCCACAAUAAUCACAGCUGCUCCCACUACAACCACAGUUGCAGCUACAACAAGUACAGCUGCACCCACAACAACCACACCUUCUCCAACCGCAAUUACAGAUGCUGCUACAACAACAGCUUCUAUCACAACAGCUUCUGCCACAAUAACCACAGCUUCUCCCACCACAACAUCUACUCCAACAACGACCACAUCUUCUCCCACAACAACCACAGUUGCUGCUGCAACAAAAGCUGAGGUUACAACAUUCGAAGCCAUGUCCACAUCAACCACAGCUUCCCCAAAUACAACCACAGCUGCACCCACAACAACCACACCUGCUCCAACCACAAUCACAGCUGCUGCUACAACAACAGCUUCUAUCACAACAACAACAGCUUCGACCACAACAACCACAGCUUUUAACACAACAACUUCAGCGGGUCCCACUACAACCACAGUGGCUCCCACUACAACCACAGCGGCUCCCACUACAACCACAGUGGCUCCCACUACAACCACAGCGGCUCCCACUACAACCACAGCGUCUCCCACUACAACCACAGCGGCUGCCACUAAAGCCACAGCGGCUCCCACAACAUCCACAGCGACUCCCACAGCAAUCACAGCGGCUCCCACAACAAACACAGCAUCUCCCACAAGAACCACAGCUGCUCCCACAACAACCACAGCGGAUCCCACAACAAUCACAGUGGCUCCCACAACAAACACAGCAUCUCCCACAAGAACCACAGCUGCUCCCACAACAACCACAGCGGAUCCCACUACGACCACAGCGGUUCCCACUACAACCACAGCGGCUCCCAAUACAACCACUGCGGCAUCCACUACAAUCACAGCGGCUCCCACUACAACAACAGUGGCUCCCACUUCAAUCACAACGUCUCCCACUACAACCACAGCGGCUCCCACUACAACCACAGCGGCUCCCACUACAACCACAGCGGCUCCCACUACAACCACAGUGGCUCUCACUACAACAACAGCAGCUCCCACUACAACCACAGCUGCUCCCACUACAACAGAUCCCAUAGCAAUAACAACAGCUGAUGUAACAACCACCACUGCUGGCCCUACCACAACCACAGCUAACCCCAAAACAACCACAACUUCUCCCACAACCACAACUGCUUCCCUUACAACAACCACAAUUGCUGCUACAACAAAAGCUGAGGCUACAACAUUCGAAGCCCUGUCCACAUCAACCACAGCAGCUCCCACAACAACCACAGCGUCUCCCACAACAACCACUGCUGAUGUUACAACAACCACAGCAUCUCCCAUAACAACCACAGCUGCUCCCACAACAACCACAGCUGAUGUUACAACAACCACAGUGUCUCCCACAACGACCACAGCUGCUCCAACAACAACCACAACUUAUCCCAAAACUACAGCAUCUCCCACAACCACAACAGCUGAUUUUACAACAACCACAGCGUCUCCCACAACAACCACAGCUGCUCCAACAACAACCACUGCUGAUGUUACAACAACCACAGCGUCUCCCACAACAACCACUGCUGAUGUUACAACAACCACAGCAUCUCCCAUAACAACCACAGCUGCUCCCACAACAACCACAGCUGAUGUUACAACAACCACAGUGUCUCCCACAACGACCACAGCUGCUCCAACAACAACCACAACUUAUCCCAAAACUACAGCAUCUCCCACAACCACAACAGCUGAUUUUACAACAACCACAGCGUCUCCCACAACAACCACAGCUGCUCCAACAACAACCACUGCUGAUGUUACAACAACCAAUGCAGCUCCCACAACAACCACAGCUGAUGUUACAACAACCACAGUGUCUCCCACAAUAAUCACAGCUGCACCCACAACAACCACAGCUUCUCCCACCACAACAUCUACUCCAACAGUGACCACAUCUGCUCCCACAACAACCACAGUUGCUGCUACAACAAAAUCUGAGGCUACAACAUUCGAAGCCCUCUCCACAUCAACCACAGCAGCUCCCACAACAACCACAGCGGCUCCCACAACAACCACAGCGGCUCCCACAACAACCACAGCUUAUGUUACAACAACCACAGCGUCUCCCACAACAACCACAGCUGCUCCAACAACAACCACAGCGUCUCCCACAACAACCACAGUGUCUCCCACAGCAACCACAGCUGCUCCCACAACAACCACAACUUAUCCCAAAACUACAGCAUCUCCCACAACCACAACAGCUUCCUUUACAACAUCAACAGCUGGUUGGACAACGAUCACAGCAGCACCAAUGAUGUCUACGGAUGCGGCUUCAACGAGCACAGCUGUGGCUACAGCAGUCACAGCUGCACCCACAACAACCACAGCUUCUCCCACCACAACAUCUACUCCAACAACUACCACAUCUGCACCUACAACAACCACAGUGGCUGCUACAACAAAAGCUGAGGCUACAACAUUCGAAAUCCUGUCCACAUCAACCACAGCAGCUCUCACAACAACCACAAUUGCACCCACAAAAACCACAAAUGCUCCCAUAACUAAAGAAGAUCUCACAACAGUUUCCCUUACUACAACCGCAGCUUCCCCCAAUUCAACCACAGCUGCAGCUACAACAAGUACAGCUGCACCCACAACAACCACACCUGCUCCAACCACAGUUACAGAUGCUGCUACAACAACAGCUUCUAUCACAACAAAUUCGGCCACAACAACCACAGCUUCUCCCACCACAACAUCUACUCCAACAACGACCACAUCUGCUCCCACAACAACCACAGUUGCUGCUACAACAAAAGCUGAGGCUACAACAUUCGAAGCCCUGUCCAGAUCAACCACAACAGCUCCCACAACAACCACAGUGGCUCCCACAACAACCACAGCUGAUGUUACAACAACCACAGUGUCUCCCACAACAACCACUGCUGCUCCCCCAACAACCACAACCUAUCCCAAAACUACAGCAUUCCACACAACCACAACAGCUUCCCUUACAACAUCAACAGCUGGUCCGACAACAGUCACAGCAGCACCAAUGAUGUCUACGGAUGUGGCUUCAACGAGCACAGCUGUGGCUACAGCAAUCACGGCUGCACCCACAACAACCACAGCUUCUCCCACCACAACAUCUACUCCAACAGUGACCACAUCUGCUCCAACAACAACCACAGUUGCUGCUACAACAAAAUCUGAGGCUACAACAUUCGAAGCCCUGUCCACAUCAACCACAGCAGCUCCCACAACAACCACAGCGGCUCCCACAACAACCACAGCGGCUCCCACAACAACCACAGCUUAUGUUACAACAACCACAGCAUCUCCCACAACAACCACAGCUGCUCCCACAACAACCACAGCUGAUGUUACAACCACCACAGCUGCUCCCACAACGACCACAGCUGCUCCAACAACAACCACAACUUAUCCCAAAACUACAGCAUCUCCCACAACUACAACAGCUUCCCUUACAACAUCAUCAGCUGGUCCGACAACGAUCACAGCAGCACCAAUGAUGUCUACGGAUGCGGCAUCAAUGAGCACAACUGUGGCUACAGCAAUCACAGCUGCACCCACAACAACCAUAACUUCUCCCACCACUCCAUCAACAAUCACAUCUGCUCCCACAACAACCACAGUUGCUGCUACAAAAAAAGCUGAGGCUACAACAUUCGAAGCCCUGUCCACAUCAACCACAACAGCUCCCACAACAACCACAGCGGCUCCCACAACAACCACAGCUGAUGUAACAACAACCACAUCAUCUCCCACAACAACCACAGCUGCUCCAACAACAACCACUGUUGAUGUUACAACAACCACAGCGUCUCCCACAACAACCACAUCUGUUCCCACAACAACCACAGCUGAUUUUACAACAACCACAGCGUCUCCCACAACAACCACAGCUGCUCCAACAACAACCACUGCUGAUGUUACAACAACCAAUGCAGCUCCCACAACAACCACAGCUGAUGUUACAACAACCACAGUGUGUCCCACAAUAGUCACAGCUGCACCCGCAACAACCACAGCUUCUCCCACCACAACAUCUACUCCAACAGUGACCACAUCUGCUCCCACAACAACCACAGUUGCUGCUACAUCAAAAUCUGAGGCUACAACAUUCGAAGCCCUCUCCACAUCAACCACAGCAGCUCCCACAACAACCAAAACGGCUCCCACCACAACAUCUACUCCAACAAUGACCACAUCUGCUCCCACAACAACCACAGUUGCUGCUAAAACAAAAGCUGAGGCUACAACAUUCGAAGCCCUGUCCAGAUCAACCACAGCAGCUCCCACAACAACCACAGCGACUCCCACAACAACCACAGCGGCUCCCACAACAACCACAGCUGAUGGUACAACAACCACAGUGUCUCCCACAACAACCACUGCUGCUCCCCCAACAACCACAACUUAUCCCAAAACUACAGCAUCCCACACAACCACAACAGCUUCCCUUACAACAUCUACAGCUGGUCCGACAACGAUCACAGCAGCACCAAUGAUGUCUACGGAUGUGGCUUCAAUGAGCACAGCUGUGGCUACAGCAAUCACAGCUGCACCCACAACAACCACAGCUUCUCCCACCACAACAUCUACUCCAACAACGACCACAUCUGCUCCCACAACAACCACAGUUGCUGCUACAAAAAAAGCUGAGGCUACAACAUUCGAAGCCCUGUCCACAUCAACCACAGCAGCUCCCACAACAACCACAGAUGCACCCAUAAAAACCACAGCUGCUCCCAUAACUACAGCUGCUCCCACAAACACAUCAGCUUCCCUUACUUUAAACACAGCUUCCCCCAAAACAACCACAGCUGCAGCUACAAGUACAGCUGCACCCACAACAGCCACACUUGCUCCAACCACAAUCCCAGCUGCUGCUACAACAACAGCUUCUAAUACAUCAAUAACAGCUUCGACCACAACGACCAAAGCUGCUCCCACAACAACCACAGCUUACCCCACAUCAACCACAGUGGAUCCCACAACAACCACAGCGUCUCCCACAACAACCACAGCUGGUGUUACAACAACAACAGCGGCUCCCACAACAACCACAGCGACUCCCACAACAACCACAGCGGCUCCCACUGCAACAGCUCCCAUAGCAACAACAAAAGCUGAUGUAACAACCACCACUGCUGCCCCUACCACAACUACAGCUAACCCCAAAACAACCACAACUUCUCCCACAACCACAACAGCUUCCCUUACAACAACCACAACUGAUCCCACAAUGUCAACAACAUCACCAAUAACAUCUACAGCUUCAACAAGCACAGCUGUGGAUUCAACAAUCACAGCUGCAUCCACAAACACAGCUUCUCCCACCACAACAUCUACUCCAACAACGACCACAGUUGCUACUACAACAAAAGCUGAGGCUACAACAUUUGAAGCCCUGUCCACAUCAACCACAGACACUCUCAGAACAACCACAAUUGCACCCACAAAAACCACAACUUCUCCCAUAACUACAGCAGCUCCCACAACCACAACAGUUUCCCUUACUACAACCACAGCUUCCCCCAAUGCAACCACAGCUGCACCCACAACAACCACAGCUGCAGCUACAACAAGUACAGCUGCACCCACAACAACCACACCUGCUCCAACCACAAUUACAGAUGCUGCUACAACAACAGCUUCUAUCACAACAACCACAGCUUCUACCACAACAACCACAGCGGCUCCCACAUCAACCGCAGCGACUCCCACAACAACCACAGUGGCUCCCACAACAACAACACCUGAUGUUACAACAACCACAGCGUCUCCUACAACAACCCCUGCUGAUGUUACAACAACUACAGCUGCUCCCACAACCACAACAGUUUCCCUUACUUCAACCACAGCUUCCCCCAAUACAACCACAGCUGCAGCUACAACAAGUACAUCUGCAACCACAACAACAACACCCACUCCAACCACAAUCACAGCUGCAGCUACAACAACAGCUUCGAUCACAACAACAACAGUUUUGACCACAACAACCACAGAUUUUACCACAACAACCACAGCUGCUCCCACUACAUCCACAGCUGCAGCUACAACAAGUACAGCAGCACCCACUACAACCACAGCGGCUCCCACUACAACCACAGGGGCUCCCACUUCAACCAUAGUGGCUCCCACUACAACCACAGCUGCUCCCACUACAACCACAGCGGCUCCCGCUACAACCACAGCGGCUCCCACUACAACAGCUCCCAUAGCAAUAACAACAGCUGAUGUAACAACCACCACUGCUGGCCCUAUCAUAACCACAGCUAACCCCAAAACCACCACAACUUCUCCCACAACCACAACAGGUUCCCUUACAACAACCACAGCUGUUCCCACAAUGGCAACAGCAACACCAAUAACAUCUACAGCUUCAACAACCACAGCUGUGGCAACAACAAUCACAGCUGCAUCCGCAAACACAGCUUCUCCCACCACACCAUCUACUCCAACGACGACCACAUCUACUCCCACAACAACCACAGUUGCUGCUACAACAAAAGCUGAGGCAACAACAACCACAGCUACGCUCACAACAUACUCAGCUUCUCCCACAACAACCACAACUGCUAGCAUAACAAUAGAUUCUCCCACUACUACCACAGCUGCUCCCACUACAACCACAAUGGCUCCCACUACAACCAUAGUGGCUCCCACUACAACCAUAGCGGCUCCCACUAAAACCACAGCGGCUCCCACUACAACCACAGCGGCUCCCACUAUAACCACAGCGGCUCCCACUACAACCACAGCGGCUCCCACUACAACAGCUCCCAUAGCAAUAACAACAGCUGAUGUAACCACUGCUGGCCCUACCACAACCACAACUAAACCCAAGACAACCACAACUUCUCCCACAACCACAACAGAUUCACUUACAACAACCACAGCUGUUCCCACAAUGUCAACAGCAACACCAAUACCAUCUACAGCUUCAACAAGCACAGCUGUGGCAACAACAAUCACAGCUGCAUCCGCAAACACAGCUUCUCCCACCACAACAUCUACUCCCACAACAACCACAGCUUACCCCACAACUACCACAGCGGCUCCCACAACAUCCACAGCAUCUCCCACAAGAAUCACAGCUGUUCCCACAAUGUCAACAGCAACACCAAUAACAUCUACAGCUUCAACAAGCACAGUUGUGGCAACAACAAUCACAGCUGCAUCCACAAACACAGCUUCUCCCACCACAACAUCUACUCCCACAACAACCACAGCUUACCCCACAUCUACCACAGCUGCACCCACAACAACCACAGCUUCUCCCACCACACCAUCUACUCCAACAACGACCAUAUCUGCUCCCACAACAACCACAGAGGCUACAACAUUCGAAGCCCUGUCCACAUCAACCACAGACGCUCUCAGAACAACCACAAUAGCUGCAGCUACAACAAGUACAGCUGCACCCACAACAACCACACCUGCUCCAACCACAAUCACAGCUGCUGCUACAACAACAGCUUCUAUCACAACAACAACAGCUUCGACCACAACAACCACAACUUCUCCCACAACAACAACAACUUAUCCCAAAACUACAGCAACCACAACCACAACAGCUUCCCUUACAACAUCCACAGCUGGUGCUAUGACAACAACAGCCAACCCCACAACAACUACAGUUGCUCCAACAACAACCACAGCUGCCCAUUUAACAACCACAGCAGUACCAACUUCAACCACAGCAGUACCAAUGUCAACAACAGCGGCUGCCACUACAACCCCAGCUUACCCGUCGACAACCACAGUUGCUGCAACGACCACCAAUGUCACCCCCAAAACAACCCCAGCUGCUACCACAAUAACCACAGCAGCUGCCACAACAAUCACAGCUUAUCCCACUUUAACCACUGCCGCAACCACAACAACCGCAGCAGCAACAACAACUUCAGCUCCUGCUCCCACAACAACAGUGGCUCACUCAACAAUUAGAGCUGCCCCCACAUCAACUACAGCUGCUGCUACAAUAACAAUAGUUGUUCCCACUACAACUACAACUGCCACCACAACAACAACAGCAGCUUUUGCCACAAGGACAACAGCUGCUGUAACUACCAGCACAGCUGGCGCUACCACAACUACAUCUAACUCCACAACAACCACCAUUGCCCCUACAACUACCAAUGCCGCUCCCACAACGACCACAGCUUCACCAUCAACAACAAAAACUCUUGCUCCAACAACUACUGUUUCCCCAACCACCGCAUCCACUGACCCUCCAACGUCAAAUGAAGGUGUACUUAUUCUACAGUUCCGGAUGAAUCGACAAUUUUUGGAAGCCUACAAAAAUCCACAGUCCCAGGAUUACUUUACUUUGGCUUUAAAUGUCACAACUGAGUUGAAUCAAGGAUACAAAACGGUAUAUCCUGGAAUCUUCCUCAGAUGCAUCAUCAUCAGUUUCUGGUCUGGUUCUGUGGGUGUGACAACCAAGUUGAUCUUCGCAAAUCAGUCAGUUGUCCCUCAAAUUAGGAAUAUAGAAGAAUCCCUCAAGACAUCCAUCAACACGUCCACAGUCUUCUUAGAUGUUAUUACUGACAGUAUCAAAGCGGAAUUCCAGAAUUCCACGACUACUACUACUGCAACCACCACAACAGCAGCUACACAAACUACAGUGGCUGCACCUACCUAUAGCAGCACUAUGGCAAGAAACAGACCUCAAGAAGUGGUCACUUUACUACUGGUUUUAAUGCUGAUCUGUUUCUUCUUAACAGAAUAACUCUAGGACUCAAUUAAACCCAUUAAGUAUAACAUAUUCUAUAAUAAAGGCAUAUAUAACUUCAGCUAUUAAGAUUAAGAUAUGUUAAGAAACGACUAAUAAUCAAAUAGUAAUAUCUUAGUUAAAGUAAUUGCUUGUCUAUAUGAUUAUGUAUAAAACUGUUUGUCUAAUUUAUUUUUAUAAAAUGUACCUCAAGAGAAAAUAAUUCAGAAAAUAAUGCUGUUAAUGUAAUGAAGCUGAAUGUAAAUGUGUGAUGUAUUUCUAUUUAUAUGUUGUUUUAGUAUAUUGCAAUAGACUAUGAAUAAUGUAAUAGAAUAUAAAUACAUUUGUAUAUUAUGAAAUGAACUAAGCAAAUUAUACAAUUCUUGGAAACCUAAUUGUCUAUUCUGUAAUAUAUAGUUUCUUCCUAAUUGUAACCCAACUCUCGGCAUACAUUGCAAUCUUUGGAAAUUACUUUGAAAACCCUUGAAUAAAUAAUGCCAAAGAAAAACACAUAAAUAAAUACACUUUAGACUGUAGAUGUAUUGUAAUAAUACUUAAAUAAACACAAAUUGAUCUUA